GUAGGUGAACCUGCGGAAGGAUCAUUCAUAAUAAGUGUUUUAUGGCACUUUUUUAAAUCCAUAUCCACCUUGUGUGCAAUGUCAGGGUUGGUCUUUUUUUGAUCAGCCCCAAACAUCAACUAUUAUCUCAACUCUUUGUCUGAAAAAUAUUAUGAAUAAAACAAUUCAAAAUACAACUUUCAACAACGGAUCUCUUGGCUCUC
rnacentral:misc_RNA from 1 species